GUUUGCCUGGGAGUGCAUGUUUCAAAUGCUUAGCUGCCUAUAAAGCUGUAACAGUUUAGCCUGUGUUCACUGAGGGAAGAAUUUAAGUUAACCUCUGUAGUGACCAUGUGGAAAUCCUGACCUUGCUUGCAGACUUGACCUCUGGAUAUGACAAGGUAGCUUCAAUAUAGAUUUACCAUUUAAUCCUGGAAACUGAAAACAAACAAAAAAAAUUUCACAGCAAGAAAGAUGCAGAAUUACUUCCUGAGAAGCAGAAGAAUCCAGUGUAUUCUGGUGGGCAAAGGAAAAUAGUAUGAAUGCUUAUAGUUACCUGGGAGGAAUAAGGAGGGAUUCUGUGUUCACUGACUUCCCCCUUACUUCACCUCACCGGCUCACGAAAAGAAGUGCUGAAUCAGCGGAUAGAGUGAAGGACCGAUCAAGAUGAGAUGGCUGCUGCUGAUGUGACUCUCUAGGUUAUUAUCUCUCUUCCUGCUGCAAACGCUGCAUGACACUAAGUUUUCAGGAUCUAGAAGCAAACUACAAUAUAAGAAGAAAUUCAUCCUGAAAACACUGAAGAAACACUAGGUUGAUCUUACCAAUUUCUGAAAUACACUCUGUAAAACUUCACUGAUUCUAUGAAUCUCUUGCAAAAAGGACCAACCGGAACAAAGUUCAACAGAUAACUGGUCAGUGUUUAGAAGUGUAUGUCCACCAACAAGGAACCAUAAAUAGCAUUAAUGCAAUACUUCAGGUGUUACCUGAAGACUGGGAUGACAGCCAAAAUCCAAUAAAGUCUUCACAACCUGAAGAUGACCUUUAUUGACAGCAAUAUGAAGUGGUGUCUGUCUGCGUUUGUUUCGAGCAUUCAAAUCAGCACUGCCUCGAUG